rnacentral:rRNA from 1 species
UACAGAGGGUGCAAGCGUUAAUCGGAAUUACUGGGCGUAAAGCGUGCGUAGACGGUUACAUAAGUCGGGUGUGAAAGCCCCGGGCUCAACCUGGGAAUUGCAUUCGAGACUGCGUAGCUAGGGUGCGGAAGAGGGAAGCGGAAUUCCGGUGUAGCGGUGAAAUGCGUAGAUAUCGGAAGGAACACCAGUGGCGAAAGCGGCUUCCUGGUCCAGCACCGGACGUCAGGCACGAAAGCGUGGGGAGCAAACAGGAU